rnacentral:rRNA from 1 species
AUUGAACGCUGGCGGCAUGCCUUACACAUGCAAGUCGAACGGUAACAGGUCUUCGGAUGCUGACGAGUGGCGAACGGGUGAGUACUACAUCGGAACGUGCCUAGUAGUGGGGGAUAACUACUCGAAAGAGUGGCUAAUACCGCAUGAGAUCUACGGAUGAAAGCAGGGGAUCGCAAGACCUUGUGCUUCUGGAGCGGCCGAUGGCAGAUUAGGUAGUUGGUGGGAUAAAAGCUUACCAAGCCGACGAUCUGUAGCUGGUCUGAGAGGACGAUCAGCCACACUGGGACUGAGACACGGCCCAGACUCCUACGGGAGGCAGCAGUGGGGAAUUUUGGACAAUGGGCGAAAGCCUGAUCCAGCAAUGCCGCGUGCAGGAUGAAGGCCCUCGGGUUGUAAACUGCUUUUGUACGGAACGAAAAGCCCUGGGUUAAUACCCUGGGGUCAUGACGGUGCCGUAAGAAUAAGCACCGGCUAACUACGUGCCAGCCGCCGCCGUAA